GUUAGAAGAAUUAAACAAGUUUUGCAAGAUCAGAAGUGCAUAGAAGUCAGCAUCAGUAGAAAAGCCAAACCUGAAGAAGCAACUGAAACAGAGGAAGCUGAAACAGAGGAAGGUCGUGAGUUGGCAAUCCAAUUGAACUAAUGAGCUGGCGAUCCGUGACAACAGGAGCUGAUCCAUGAGCUGGCAAUCCGUGGCAACAGGAGCUGGUGAUCCAUGAGAGUAAAACCUGAAUCACAGAAGCAGGUCAAGCGAAUCAAAAAGAAGCUACACAGUCAGAAGAAAUACACGUGUAUUGCUUAUCUUCUGUUGUAACAAUUUUAUAACAGAAAACAGUUGAGCUAGUGAUUAAGUAUAAAAGGAAAAGAGAGAACGAGAGAGAGGUGUGGGAGUUCAUUGUUAGUUCUGAGUUGCUAAGCUCUUCCUGUUCUUCAUCAGAAGCUUUUUCUUCGUUCUCUGUAUCUGGAAUUGAUGAAAGAUUGUGUAAAGAAUGAACUCGAAGUUCUGGAGAAGAAAUAUAACAGAAGUCUGAGGUAUUUUCAUUGAUUGUUCGAAGAUCUUAUUCUGUAUUCGAUUUCUU
rnacentral:lncRNA from 1 species